rnacentral:tRNA from 1 species
GGGCUCGUAGCUCAGCCUGGUCAGAGCGCCAGUCUUAUAAACUGGACGUCCGGGGUCCAAAUCCCCGCGGGCCCA